rnacentral:lncRNA from 1 species
AGGUGUGUGGGGAUCCGAACUGAAGAGCGCUUUCCAGGAGACACACUUCGCUGUCCACACAGAGACCAGGACGCAUUCGUGGACUCACUUGCCCUAACUUCUGUCAUGCUGCUUGCAACGCACGGCCAAUCCCAGCAUGAAUGAAGCCAGCAAGACUUUUCUUGGUGUUUGUUGAGUGGGAUUCUGGUGCCUCCUGUGCAGAUCCACUUUUUACAAAAUUAUGUUGACAUCUUGCUUAUAGGCCUCAAAAAACUCUGAGUGAGAUGCGCUGGUUUGCCUUUGGAACAUAGGAUAGGCACUGUUAUCAGAA